UAAUCUCACUACGAUCGACUUUAUCGGUCUUUCUGUAUGUGGACUUGGAUGUUGCCGUGGAUAUCUACGGCUCGUCUGAAAUGCUUCAGUGUACCCCGCGGAGCGGCGUAUUCGGUGUGAUACAUCUUCACCGGAGUUGAUCCUUUAAUGGGUCGUGUCUGUAAUGUGUGGCUCUAUGCUUCAAACCGUCUCGAAUGGGACAAUCUUUGACA
rnacentral:misc_RNA from 1 species